CUCCCGAGCUCCAGUCAGAUAAAAAGAAGGACAAUUUCUGCAGACGACACCACAGCUCCUAGUCGCCAGAUAUUUGCUGAUCAAUUCAGAACCUUUCAGAGUUCAACUCAACAUCAACCAAUCAAGAUGAACAACACCGUCUUUGUCGUUCUCGUCGUCCUGGCUCUGAUCGCCGCUGCCAGUGCUAUGUCAUUCUCCAGCUGUAACAGCAAGUUCAGCGACUGGUACAACGAUUGUAAGGGCCGUUAUGGACAACACAAGUGUGACAUUGCUAUGGGAGGUUUCUCUGUAUCUUGUUAUUACAGCUAAGUUCUCCAUGUGUCAUGUCACCUGAACACGUUACCGGUCGUGGACUUCGGAAUAAAUCUACUGCACGA
rnacentral:lncRNA from 1 species